rnacentral:rRNA from 1 species
CCUACGGGGGGCAGCAGUGAGGAAUAUUGGUCAAUGGGCGCGAGCCUGAACCAGCCAAGUAGCGUGAAGGAUGACUGCCCUACGGGUUGUAAACUUCUUUUAUAAAGGAAUAAAGUGAGGCACGUGUGCCUUUUUGUAUGUACUUUAUGAAUAAGGAUCGGCUACCUCCGUGCCAGCAGCCGCGGUAAUACGGAGGAUCCGAGCGUUAACCGGCUUUAUUGGGUUUAAAGGGGGCGAAGAUGGGUUGUUAAGUCAGUUGUGAAAGUUUGCGGCUAAACCGUAAAAUUGCAAUUGAUACUGGCAGCCUUGAGUACAGUUGAGGUAGGCGGAAUGCGUGGUGUAGCGGUGAAAUGCUUAGAUAUCACGCAGAACUCCGAUUGCGAAGGCAGCCUACUAAACUGCCACUGACAUUGAUGCUCGAAAGUGUGGGUAUCAAACAGGAUUAGAUACCCGAGUAGUC